AGGCACACUGCACAGCCACGUGCACUAUGCACGUGUGUGCACAUGCAGUACACAGUCACAUGCACAUGUGUGCACACAGCACAAUUGCACAGCCCCCGCAACAGUCUCCUAGCCAUGAUUUCAUCCUUCGCAUCACCUUCCUCACUGACACUGAGCCCCAAGAAUAAGCCACCUCCUGAAACCUGGAAGUCUCUCUGGGAGCCACGUCUUCUGGCCGAGCUUGCUGAAUGCUGGGCCAGUGGCUGAAGGGCAGCCCCAGUAAAAGGUCCCAGAGCCAGGGGCCCUGGCCCUGAGUGGGCAGAAGUCAGUGAGGCACCACGGAAGGUGCCAGAAGACUCAAGAGCUCCUUGCAACUCUGCCCCAGCAGUGCCUGGGUGUCUGCUAUUAUUUGGAGUUGACUUUCCCCGGCAAUCGAGGCGUCCCUGUGUCUCAGAGAAGGGCAUGGUUGAUGGACGUGAGCACGUGGAGAGCUUCUCGCCUCUUAAAGCCCCGAUGGCCCUCGAGAGGGGCUGCACACUCACGAGGUGGCUGCCCCAGGAAGCCACCGCCUGACACGUUUGCACUUUCUUAGUGUGGCUUAGAGAGUGAUUCAAAAUCUUGAACGUCAACCUGCUGUAGUGUUUGAGAGGCGACUUUACAUUAGUUUAAAUUGCCAUUAAAAUCCUAAGUGAACAGAAAUAAGCCAAACUUGCUAUGAAUCCUUAAUGCCCUUCACUUGGUUCGCUUGGUUCUGCCCCUCUGCACCUCCCCACACCCUGUGGCCGGGGUGCCCAACAGCCAGGUGUGGGGCUGGGGCAGGGGGAGCCUGUGUGAGCCGGACACAGGGGAGGGGUGGGCACAGGCCCCAUGCAGAGGGGGUGGGUGUGGUGUGAGUGUGAGUGUGAGCGUGAGAAUGAACAUCAACAUGGGCGUGGGCAUGAGUGAACGUGCAUGUGUGUGAGUGUGAACACGAACGUAUGAGUGAGUGUGAGCGUGAGUGUGAGCGUGAGCCCACCAGGGGCGGGCCGGGGCGGGCAAGCAGGAGGGCGUGGGGGCCAGCCAGCAUGGCUCCGUGUCAGUGAGAAUGUGGGCCCCUCCUUCCAAAGCAAGAACAAAGCUCUCUCCUUUCCCUGAGCUUGUCCUCUGGGUUGUGUUUGUUUUUAAUGGCUUUGUUGAGUUAUAAUUCAUAUUCCACUUCAUAUAUAACUCACCCAUUUAAAGUAUACAAUUCGGUGGUUUUUGGUAUAUUACAUUAUUUUUAAAAUUAUGGUAUAAAAUAUAAGCAUAAAAUUAACUAUUUUAACCUUUUUUAAGUGUAUGGUGCAGGGGCAUCAGUACCUGCACGUUGCUGUGUAAACACCCUACCAUCCAUCUCCAGAACUUUCCAACUUCCUGAAUGGGAACUCUGUCCCCAUUAAACAGUAGCUCCCAGCCCCUCGCAGCCCCUGGUGCCCACCGUCCCACCCUCUGUCUCCGUGGGUGGGACGACGACGACCGCCCCCGUGAGCUGAGGAGUGCCUGUGUCGUGGCACUGAACCCCGUCCCAUGUCGGUUCAGUGGAGGAGGGAAGUUUGCCCUUCAGAGAGGGACAUGUGGGAGACUGUAAAGCCCCUCAAAUGGCCCUCCCCUCCCCUGCCCCGCAGCAAGAGAAUCAGAUGUUGGUCCACAUCAGAGACGGUCAGCAUGGCCCUUCUGAAGGAUUCUCCCUGGAGCCACAUGAGCUGUUGUUCACGUGACAGAAACACAUUGGGCCCCACGUUCGCCCGUCUGGGUUGACGAAGAUGAGACCACCUCCUCUGUAGGGACGAUCCCAUAGACAGGAAGCAAAUGAGUCCUCCCAGGGCAUCGGAGCUCUUUCCAUGGGACAGAUGGGAGAACAGUCCGUGGCAGGUGCUCCGAGGGUGGCCCCCAUGCUUCGAGCAUUUUCAUAGUAAUUCUCAGAUGUUGCGUGAGUUUCCCGUGGCUGCCAUAACACGGCCGCAGCCUGGGUGCUACGGAAUAGCAGUUUAUUCCGUCCCAGGCCCUGAGGCCAGAAGUCAGAGGUGGGGGGGUCCACAGUGGACCCCCCAGCGGGUCCUUCUGGGUCCCCCGAGGGACACUGUGCCCCGGGCCUCUCUCGGCUUCGGCUGCUGGCCCCGACAGUCGUUGGUGUUCCCCGGCUCGUGGCAGCCUCAUCCGGAUCUCUGCCUCUCCUCCCACGUGUUCUCGCCGUGUGUCUGCACGUCUGAAACUCUCUGUCCCUGUGAGAUGCGUCGCUGGAUCCAGGGCUCAUCUUAACCUGACCGACCGCAUCUGCAGAGACCCUAUUCCAAAUGAGGUCACACGCACGGGUUCCAGGCUCCCAGGACCCUGGGGGCCACUGUCUCCCAGCUGGGGUGUUACUUGCUUUCUCACGGUGCUAACAUCUGCACUGGCAGAGAAGUCAUCGCGGUCAACUGCUUGCUAUCACGCAGGACACAAAGCUCGACGGGGGGACGUGGCCCCUCUCUGCGGCCCGGAGGCACUGUGACAACAGCCCCACCCAACAGCAUCCAGAUGACGCGAAACCACCCGACCGCUGGGCCUGCUGGAAUGGGAGCACGCAGGCGGCCCCGCGCCGGGGGUGUCGUCCUGAGCGCGUGCUGGGGCCAGAGCUGCGCUUCCCGCUCCGUCCAUGCAGCACGGCUUCCCGGGAACAAAUGGCUGACAGACCGACGGACAGGACGUGGUCCGGAUACCAGAGGAAGUCAGGUGACCAGUUCGAGGAAAAUGGCAGACGGUGCUUGUUGUCCAAACGCUGAGCUUUCCAACAAAGAGCGGGAGUUUGGAAAGCUGCUGUCAGCCACCGUGAGCUGGGCGGGUUCCCUGCGCUCGCAGGCUUGGCUGAUGUGGUCGAUGAGCGCAUGACGAAUGCAAUUUCCUCAUGUUGUGAAAUAAAACGUCCUUACAUAUGGAAGACCUGUUUAGCUGAAUGAACUGAGGAUUUGCUAACGACCAGUGCAGGUUGUUACAAAAUUAUGGUCGAAGGUGCGCUUCCAGUUCAAGCUAGACCAGUGGAUUUUAACACAACACAUAAAAUCUACUGAUAAGGUUUCAGAUUUCAUUUUAUGACUAAGCUUUAGGAAUCUGUACCUCGGUGAAUUUUGGUAUAAUAUCAGAGAAGAAUAACCCACAUGAUCUGAGAAUACUAUUAGGAUACACCUUUCUCCUCCAGCUGCGUCUCUGUGCAGGGCCUGAUUUUCCUCGUCUGUCAGCCAAAGCGGCGAAUCUGCAGCGACGGGGUGCGGACGCACGCGCGAGCGCUCAGCUGUCUGCUACCGAGCCAGGCACGCAAGAGAUGCGAAAACGCCUGCACUAACUUCCAUACUGCGAACAGCCAUGGAUGUAAGCCCGAAAGGAAAGCGUGUUGGUGUCCUCCACGAUGGGUCCUGGGAACAAGGUGUUGGGGCGUGGCUAUGCGGACUGCCUUCCUCUCCCUGAGUUUCUGCCUUGUUGAUCUCUGGAUGAGGGAGCACCUGUGCAUGCCGGGAUCGGCACCUGGCCACCGCGCCAAAGACAGCAUUUGGCAGUGACCCCAUGGGUCCGAGUCACCACGCCUGUGUCGGAGCACUCUACUUACCGUGGCGGUGGCUGCGUCCUGGGACGAGCGUGACGCACAACUUAACAGGAAGAGCCGCUGAAGUGAGAGGUGCUCGAGCUGGGCUGGCGUUCUCUGCAGCAAAGGGAAGAAUCCUUCGAACAGGUUAGCCGCCGAUCGGCAGUGGGAGGCCAUGAUCUAAACACUAUUCUAAGGUGGCAUCCCAGACAUGGCCCAAAGAAGAAGCCAGCCCACCCUGAUUUUCCAGAGGGAGACGUGCACACCAGGGCCUCUGAUCACCCAGAUCAUGGGGUCCUCUGUGGGGAUGGGUGUGCACAGCCCAGCCCCGCCCACCGCCAUGGACUCUGGGAGAAGCCGGAGCCUGGAGGAAGAGGUGCCAGGCAGAGGAGUUGGGACCGUGCUGCGUCUCCAGCGGGAGGGCCCCACUCUGGGCCUGAGGGACCAACCGGCCGGUGAGCUGACGGGGAGCCGGGUCCCCGGGGCUGAGGCCCACGCCUGUGGGGCUCAGAGCACCGUCCCCUGUCCCAUGCUGUCAGCCUGCUUCUUUCCCGCCCCCGUGCCCUUUUCACUGUGGCUGGUGUUCAGGGGCCGACGGAGGGGCCGUGUGGACACCAUGGAGCAGCAGCGGGACCAGGGCAUUCGCUCAACAUGAAGCAUGGCCUUUCCCGCCGCCUCCGCCUGCUCCGGAGCCGCGUGCCCCCGUGACAGCAGAUUGCCGCUGAUGCCCACCCCCGCCCCACCUCUCGGGCCACUUGCCCUUCUUCUGCCCUCAGCUUUUACUUGGGAGCAGUGAACUUUCUGGCACGCAGUCCUGGACAUCCGGCGUCCACCUGGUGAGAGGCUCCUUCCUCCCAGGGCACGAGUGGUGGCUGCGGUGGGCGGGGGCCGCUGGUCUCAAUCACUCUGGGCCUCUCCCCCGGGCAGCGGCGGGAGGCACUUUAUUACCCGCAGGGAUAUUGCUGAUGCUUCUGCUAAUUGAGUUUUAUCCUCACCACUGGGUCUGCCUCUUGCCUUUGCAUACGCAUCUGCAUACUCAGAGUGAGUUAUGGCGGCUUGGCUAAUAAACGGACCUUGUUUUGUGGCUAGAAUGGCCAUCGUGUGCCCUGGAGGCUGCCGGGCCGCGAGGGGGUGAUUCCAGACGUUUGCUGGCAUCAGGAGUUUGCACUCCGUGCGGACACUCUAAUAGGGAAAGUUUUCGAGCAGGAAAAGAUGCAGCUGAGGCAUUAGCUGUGCUGUCCAGUGACUUCACGUGACACCCACACAAAAAACUCACUUCCAGUGCAGCUGAAAAUUGCAGAAAAGCGUCUCCCCCAGGCCCCAUGGCCAUGGCCUUAUGGCCCCGCGCUGUCCUGCACAGAACAGAGUCGUCUCUCCGUUCCCCUAAAUGUGGGAGGAAGGGCUGGGGGCUGGACAGUUGUCAGAGACCCUUGUGUGUUUAUGUUUCAGAUGCACUGGGGGUCUGUCUCUGGAGCGUCAGGAGACCCCAUGCCCCCUCUCAGCUCGGCCUGCGCCCUGCUGGUGACACCCGUCUCCUUUGUGCCGCACAUGUGGGAAGGGAGGCGGCCCUCUGAGGGUCACAGGCAGGCUGCCUCAGGCAUGCAGCCUGGCCGUGGGCACUCCGGCCCUGACCUCUGCCCCGGCUCACCUGUGGGCCCUCUGUUCCCCACCCGGGGCUGGCGCCCAGGACCGGCUGGUCCUGCCCUGGCCCCGGUAGGGGUGGUGCUCCAUACCCAGAGCUUGUGGAAUGGGGGCUCACCCACUGAACCCUGCAGCCCCUCCUGGUUUCUGGGUUCUGCUCCUGCUCUGCAAGGAGCCCUCCCUGCCCGCCUUCCCCAAACAGGUAGGAAGAAGGUGUGGGGCAGCUAGAAGGGCCCUGAGCCAGAGCAGGCAUCUGGGAACCUGAGCCAGGGAACAGGAGACUCGGAGGCGGCUAGUGGGGCCGGCCUCGGCUCUCAGCCUGGCCCACAGCCCCCGCCCUGUCCACACCUCCACACUGGUCGCCAUGGUUCCCACUCCACACACAGAGGGCGGCUUUCCUUCCCCUGCGACUGGCAGGUGCUUGCUGUCAUCUAUGUCACCAGUGUUUGGGACUGUCAUCGGAGGGCCAUCUGGCUGCGGGUUCCUGUCCUGACGGUGCGGGGUCCCAGACACCGACUUGUCCUCCAGCCAUCAGAGGGGUGGGAACAAACGGCGUCCUGACUGAGGGGGCAACGGGCCUCUGAGCCGGACGGAUACCCACUCGCAGCGGGAGAUGCGCAAUCACACGCUCACAAAAGGUCACAUUUGCAAUAAGUAAAAAGGAAAUGUAGGUAAUUGGUUCUGGAGCCCGUUAAUACCUCUGCCGGCCUGAGAGGCAAUCUGACGGACUUGAAACCUUUUUGUUCAGGUAAUUAAAAAUAAGAUUUCAUUAUAUCAUUAAAAAUGAGGGCCAGCGAGCUGUUUCCUCGGAUGCUAUAAUGUUAUCAGAAGAGGGAACUAAAUCUAGCCAGGCACCCCACACACGCACUGGUGCCCGGGCCCCAGGCUGGGGUGGAGGCGGCUCUGCAGGUGCCAGGGUCGGACUGCACCGUGAGAUCUGGGGAGAGCAGCCGAGAUGAUUCGCAGGACAGAUUGCAAGAUAAAUGGGAGGGGGAUGAGGAAGGCCUCCCGCGGUCCCACCGCCUUCCCCCAGACAAAGGCACUGCGGCGGCUUCCCCGAGCGGUGACGCGCUGGAAACAGGUGAAACGGGACAGGUGCGCAUUCUUCAGGGAGGCAAGGCCUGACACAGGAUCCCGGCAGCCCAUCAGGAGCCCGGCCUCGGUUCAUAAGAGGCCGUGGACGUCCUGCUCCACGUGUUUCAAACUAAACCUGUCUGGAUGUAAACCGCUGGCCUCUUAUCCACGGGGGGGCAUUGGCGUGCAGCGGUGUUCCCAGCGGAGCCGGUGGAAUGGAGCGCGCGGGCCCCGGGCGCACAUGCAAACCCCUGAUGCCAAGAAAGCGCAGCUGGGAUGUCCUGCGGCUGCUGAGGGUUUCGGGUCCCCCCUCGGGCUUUCCUCUCACUCAGGCCUUUCCUCUCCGGUUUGUAGGAAGGGUUUGGGGCAGUGACCUAAAUAAUUUCUCGGAUGGGAAAGGCGUGAUCUGGUCGUUUGUGGUGAACGAGACGUGGAGUCCUGCCUGCUGGCGGAGGCCCGGUCCCACGUGGGGUUCCCACAUCUGGGGGAGCCGCCGGCUUCCGAGGGUGCCUGUCAGCAGGCGGGGGGCCAGCAGGCGGUCCUGUGUGCACCACUGGCAUGGUAACAAGCCGUUUUCAGACGGUGACUUAUUUUUAAAGGCUUGGGUGUUCUCUGGCGGCUAAUUAGUCCAGACGCCCAUUCUUUGUGUUUCCAAACGAAAUAGAUUUUGAGGAGGAUUUUAGCUCACCUGGGGGUCUGGGUCUGAAGAACUCCGUGGCCCAUGAAGUCGUUUGUUAUUUUGUUGUGACCAUGCACACGCUGGAAGGGUGAGAGAAAGGUCAGCGAUAACUCUGCUGUUGCGUUUUCGCCUGGAAAGAAUGCAAUAUUGAUCGAUAAGAAAAUGGGAGAGCACAACUAUUAGGGCCUUACUUGACCUUCUCCGACCUUCACCCGCCAUGUUGAUUUUGUUCUUAAAUGUUAUGUCUCCCGUUCAAAAGGUUUGUCCUGUUUGGUCUCCUAUUUAAUUAAUACAUGAUCUUCUUCACUCUCUCUAAUGUUGCAACAAGACAUUUCCUUGAUGUCCUUGUUGAACCACUGUCCUUGCUCCAUAUUCUCUCUGCCACUCUGACUGGUUCACCAGCGACUGGUUUGCCUGGAGCUGCCGUUUCAUGCGUCUGUCUUUCCGCAGGUCCUGGGAACAAGUUGCUGUUGCCGAUGAGAGAGCCCUGUGUGGACGGGCGCUCUGCCAGGAGGCUGACCCACGUGUGUGUGUGCGUCUGCAUGUGUGUUUCUGCAUGUGUGUGCUUGCGUCUGUAUCUGCAUGUGCCUGCGUGUGCGUGUGUCUGCAUGUGUCUGUGUGUGU